GAUGAAGAACGUAGCGAAAUGCGAUAAGUAAUGUGAAUUGCAGAAUUCAGUGAAUCAUCGAAUCUUUGAACGCACAUUGCGCCCAUUAGUAUUCUAGUGGGCAUGCCUGUUCGAGCGUCAUUAAGUCCACUUAAGCCCUGCUUAGUGUUGGGAGACUGCUCCAGCGGUGCUACCCUGUAGCUACCCUGCAGCUCCUCAAAGACAGCGGCGGAGUUGUGGUAUCCUCUGAGCUUAGUAACUUGUUCUAGCUUUCGAGUACACCACUUCCCCUGCCGUAAAACCCUUAAUUUUUAAUGGUUGACCUCGGAUCAGGUAGGAGUACCCGCUGAACUUAAGCAUAUCAAUAAGCGGAGGA
rnacentral:misc_RNA from 1 species